rnacentral:rRNA from 1 species
UACGGGGGGGACAAGCGUUGUUCGGAAUUACUGGGCGUAAAGGGUUCGUAGGUGGCCGGCUAAGUCAGACGUGAAAUCCCUCAGCUUAACUGGGGAACUGCGUCUGAGACUGGUCGGCUCGAGGGCAGGAGAGGAACGUGGAAUUCCAGGUGUAGCGGUGAAAUGCGUAGAUAUCUGGAGGAACACCGGUGGCGAAGGCGGCGUUCUGGACUGCAUCUGACACUGAGGAACGAAAGCCAGGGGAGCAAACGGG